AAAAUAAUAGUUUAAUAAAAAUAUUUAAUUUGCAUUUAAAAGUUAUUUAAAAUUUAUUUUA
rnacentral:tRNA from 1 species